UCCCUGGUGGCUCAGAAGUAAAGAAUCUGCCUGCUAUGCAGGAGACCCAGGUUCAAUCCCUGGAUCGGGAA
rnacentral:tRNA from 1 species